UACGGGAGGCAGCAGUGAGGAAUAUUGCACAAUGGGCGCAAGCCUGAUGCAGCCAUGCCGCGUGUGUGAAGAAGGCCUUCGGGUUGUAAAGCACUUUCAGCGAGGAGGAAGGGUAGUGUCUUAAUACGGCAUUACAUUGACGUUACUCGCAGAAGAAGCACCGGCUAACUCCGUGCCAGCAGCCGCGGUAAU
rnacentral:rRNA from 1 species